AGCGGAGGAAAAGAAACCAACCGGGAUUGCCUUAGUAACGGCGAGUGAAGCGGCAAAAGCUCAAAUUUGAAAUCUGGUACCUUCGGUGCCCGAGUUGUAAUUUGGAGAGGGCAACUUUGGGGCCGUUCCUUGUCUAUGUUCCUUGGAACAGGACGUCAUAGAGGGUGAGAAUCCCGUGUGGCGAGGAGUGCGGUUCUUUGUAAAGUGCCUUUGAAGAGUCGAGUUGUUUGGGAAUGCAGCUCUAAGUGGGUGGUAAAUUCCAUCUAAAGCUAAAUAUUGGCGAGAGACCGAUAGCGAACAAGUACAGUGAUGGAAAGAUGAAAAGAACUUUGAAAAGAGAGUGAAAAAGUACGUGAAAUUGUUGAAAGGGAAGGGCAUUUGAUCAGACAUGGUGUUUUGUGCCCUUUGUUCCUUGUGGGUAGGGGAAUCUCGCAUUUCACUGGGCCAGCAUCAGUUUUGGUGGCAGGAUAAAUCCAUAGGAAUGUAGCUUGCCUCGGUAAGUAUUAUAGCCUGUGGGAAUACUGCCAGCUGGGACUGAGGACUGCGACGUAAGUCAAGGAU
rnacentral:rRNA from 1 species